CCUACGGGGGGCUGCAGUGGGGAAUAUUGGACAAUGGGCGAAAGCCUGAUCCAGCCAUGCCGCGUGUGUGAAGAAGGCCUUCGGGUUGUAAAGCACUUUCAGUGGGGAAGAAAGCCUUGGGGCUAAUACCCUCGAGGAAGGACAUCACCCACAGAAGAAGCACCGGCUAACUCCGUGCCAGCAGCCGCGGUAAUACGGAGGGUGCGAGCGUUAAUCGGAAUUACUGGGCGUAAAGCGCGCGUAGGCGGUCUGAUAAGCCGGUUGUGAAAGCCCCGGGCUCAACCUGGGAACGGCAUCCGGAACUGUCAGGCUAGAGUGCAGGAGAGGAAGGUAGAAUUCCCGGUGUAGCGGUGAAAUGCGUAGAGAUCGGGAGGAAUACCAGUGGCGAAGGCGGCCUUCUGGACUGACACUGACGCUGAGGUGCGAAAGCGUGGGUAGCAAACAGGAUUAGAUACCCCGGUAGUC
rnacentral:rRNA from 1 species